UUCGGGUCUAGUGGCGCACGGGUGCGUAACGCGUGGGAAUCUGCCCUUAGGUACGGAAUAACAGUGAGAAAUUACUGCUAAUACCGUAUGAUGUCUUCGGACCAAAGAUUUAUCGCCUAGGGAUGAGCCCGCGUUGGAUUAGCUAGUUGGUGGGGUAAAGGCCUACCAAGGCGACGAUCCAUAGCUGGUCUGAGAGGAUGAUCAGCCACACUGGGACUGAGACACGGCCCAGACUCCUACGGGAGGCAGCAGUGG
rnacentral:rRNA from 1 species